CCUACGGGAGGCUGCAGUGGGGAAUAUUGCACAAUGGGGGAAACCCUGAUGCAGCCAUGCCGCGUGUAUGAAGAAGGCCUUCGGGUUGUAAAGUACUUUCAGUUGUGAGGAAGGCGUUGGAGUUAAUAGCUUCAGCGCUUGACGUUAGCAACAGAAGAAGCACCGGCUAACUCCGUGCCAGCAGCCGCGGUAAUACGGAGGGUGCGAGCGUUAAUCGGAAUUACUGGGCGUAAAGCGCAUGCAGGCGGUCUGUUAAGCGAGAUGUGAAAGCCCCGGGCUCAACCUGGGAAUUGCAUUUCGAACUGGCGAACUAGAGUCUUGUAGAGGGGGGUAGAAUUCCAGGUGUAGCGGUGAAAUGCGUAGAGAUCUGGAGGAAUACCGGUGGCGAAGGCGGCCCCCUGGACAAAGACUGACGCUCAGGCACGAAAGCGUGGGGAGCA
rnacentral:rRNA from 1 species